rnacentral:rRNA from 1 species
AACGUAGGUGGCGAGCGUUAUCCGGAUUCAUUGGGCGUAAAGGGUGCGUAGGUGGCGUCGUAAGUCGGGUGUGAAAUUUCGGAGCUUAACUCCGAAACUGCAUUCGAUACUGCGGUGCUUGAGGACUGGAGAGGAGACUGGAAUUUACGGUGUAGCGGUGAAAUGCGUAGAUAUCGUAAGGAAGACCAGUGGCGAAGGCGGGUCUCUGGACAGUUCCUGACGCUGAGGCACGAAGGCCAGGGGAGCAAACGGG